rnacentral:rRNA from 1 species
GACGAACGCUGGCGGCGUGCUUAACACAUGCAAGUCGAACGGAGUGGCGAACGGGUGAGUAACACGUGGGUGAUCUGCCUUGCACUUCGGGAUAAGCUUGGGAAACUGGGUCGAAUACCGGAUAGUGCAAGAUGAGCUCGCGUCCUAUCAGCUUGUUGGUGGGGUAAUGGCCUACCAAGGCGUCGACGGGUAGGCGGCCUGAGAGGGUGUACGGCCACAUUGGUAAUGAGAUCUGGACCAGAUCCCUACGGGAGGCAGCAGUGGGGACUAUUGAAGAAUGCGCCGAAGUCUGAUGAAGCGACGUCGCGUGGGGGAUGUAGGCCUUCGGUUUGUAAACUCCUUUCGACAGGGACGCGGUACCUUGAUAAGAAGCACCGGCUAACUACGUGCCAGCAGCCGCGGUAAUUC